CAGGCGGCCCAUUAGCAUUGCAGGAAAGUGCUGCAGUCCUGGUCCCUCCCGGGCGCCGGAGCGGAGAGACUGGGUCCCGCAGGCGCCUACACCCCACCCGCCCCGGAGCCCACGCCGCGGGGGCUUAGACUGGGGAGGGAGAGGUGACCGACCCCUUCUUUUGGGAGGUGAGACGCUGAGGCCUGAGGGUUUGUAGAUGAGAAACUGAGGUGCAGAGACUUGAAAGCCCAAGGUCACACAACUGGCCAGCACUCUGGAAACACCCAGUGCCUUGCUGCAGUUCUGCUAGAAGACUGCGGAGUCGCCAAGGGCAGUUUAACACAGAUCCAUCUCUCUGUAAGGAAAACGAGAGGAGAGAGGCACAAGGGAGAACCGGGUCAGCUCUGCUGCAAAGGAUGAGAACUUGAAGGCGUCCCCAGCCUGGACGGGUGCUGAGUGACAGAGACACUCUGGGGUAUCAGCUGUGACUCUGCAGAAUCCACCUGGGGUCUAAAAACUGCAGUUUCUAUUCCAAUGGCCAUGUUCUGCAGGGCCCCUUUCAGUGAACCUCUUCCUCUCUCAGCACCUCAAAGUCUUCCACUAUGAAAUGAUUAGGUGGAUUAUCACUAGGGAUACUAUCUGGUGUUAGGAACUAGAAAUAAUAUUGAUGAUAAUAAUAAUAAGAAUGAAGGGCUUCCCUGGUGGCUCAGUGGUUAAGAAUCCGCCUGCCAAUGUAGGGGACAUGGGUUCGAGCCCUGGUCCGGGAAGUUCCCACAUGCCAUGGAGCAACUAAGCCUGUGUGCCACAACUACUGAGCCUGCUCUCUAGAGCCCGUGAGCCACAACUAUUGAGCCCACAUGCCACGACUAUUGAAGCUCAUGCGCCUAGAGCCCUUGCUCCGUGGCAAGAGAAGCCACCGCAAUGAGAAGCCUGCAUGCCACAAGGAAGAGUAGCCCCUGCUCGCUGCAACUAGAGAAAGCCCGCGCCCAGCAACGAAGACCCAACCCAACACAGCCAAAAAUAAAUAAAUAAA